AACGAACGCUGGCGGCAGGCUUAACACAUGCAAGUCGAGCGAGACCUUCGGGUCUAGCGGCGGACGGGUGAGUAACGCGUGGGAACGUGCCCUUCUCUACGGAAUAGCCCCGGGAAACUGGGAGUAAUACCGUAUACGCCCUUUGGGGGAAAGAUUUAUCGGAGAAGGAUCGGCCCGCGUUGGAUUAGGUAGUUGGUGGGGUAAUGGCCCACCAAGCCGACGAUCCAUAGCUGGUUUGAGAGGAUGAUCAGCCACACUGGGACUGAGACACGGCCCAGACUCCUACGGGAGGCAGCAGUGGGGAAUCUUAGACAAAGGGGGCAACCCUGAUCUAGCCAUGCCGCGUGAGUGAUGAAGGCCUUAGGGUUGUAAAGCUCUUUCAGCUGGGAAGAUAAUGACGGUACCAGCAGAAGAAGCCCCGGCUAACUCCGUG
rnacentral:rRNA from 1 species